rnacentral:rRNA from 1 species
UGGGGAAUAUUGGACAAUGGGCGCAAGCCUGAUCCAGCAAUGCCGCGUGUGUGAAGAAGGCCUUCGGGUUGUAAAGCACUUUUAUCAGGAACGCAAAGCGUGGGGUUAAUACCUUUACGUGCUGACGGUACCUGAGGAAUAAGCACCGGCUAACUUCGUGCCAGCAGCCGCGGUAAUACGAAGGGUGCAAGCGUUAAUCGGAAUUACUGGGCGUAAAGCGUGCGUAGAUGGUUUGUUAAGUCGGAUGUGAAAGCCCCGGGCUCAACCUGGGAACUGCAUCCGAUACUGGCAGACUAGAGUGUGGUAGAGGAUGGCGGAAUUCCCGGUGUAGCGGUGAAAUGCGUAGAGAUCGGGAGGAACAUCCGUGGCGAAGGCGGCCAUCUGGACCAACACUGACGUUGAGGCACGAAAGCGUGGGGAGCAAACAGGAUUAGAUACCCCCGUAGUCCCUGAGCGGGCUGGCAAGGCGCAU